GACGAACGCUGGCGGCGUGCUUAACACAUGCGAGUCGAACGGAAAGGCCCUGCUUUUGUGGGGUGCUCGAGUGGCGAACGGGUGAGUAACACGUGAGUAACCUGCCCUUGACUUUGGGAUAACUUCAGGAAACUGGGGCUAAUACCGGAUAGGAGCUCCUGCUGCAUGGUGGGGGUUGGAAAGUUUCGGCGGUUGGGGAUGGACUCGCGGCUUAUCAGCUUGUUGGUGGGGUAGUGGCUUACCAAGGCUUUGACGGGUAGCCGGCCUGAGAGGGUGACCGGCCACAUUAGAACUGAGAUACGGCCCAGACUCCUACGAGAGGCAGCAGUGAGGAAUGUUGCACAAUGGGCGGAAGCCUGAUGCAGCAACGCCGCGUGCGGGAUGACGGCCUUCGGGUUGUAAACCGCUUUCGCCUGUGACGAAGCGUGAGUGACGGUAAUGGGUAAAGAAGCACCGGCUAACUACGUG
rnacentral:rRNA from 1 species